GGAAGAAGGAGGCCCUCAUCGUGCGCAAGCAUUUUGAGGGGGCACAGGCCAGGGGGUAGCGACUGUUUAGCAAAAACACAGGGCUCUGCUAAGUCGGCUUCAAGACGACGUAUAGGGCCUGACGCCUGCCCGGUGCCUGAAGGUUAAGUGGAGGGGUGCAAGCUCUGAAAUGAAGCCCAGGUAAACGGCGGCCGUAACUAUAACGGUCCUAAGGUAGCGAAAUUCCUUGUCGGGUAAGUUCCGACCUGCACGAAUGGCAUAAUGAUGGGGGCGCUGUCUCCAGCAGAGACUCAGUGAAAUCGAAUUCGCCGUGAAGAUGCGGUGUACCCGCGGCUAGACGGAAAGACCCCGUGAACCUUUACUGCAGCUUGACAUUGAACUUUGAUCUUACUUGUGUAGGAUAGGUGGGAGGCUUUGAAACCGAGACGCUAGUUUCGGUGGAGCCAAUCUUGAAAUACCACCCUGGUAAUAUUGAGGUUCUAACUCUGUCCCGUUAUCCGGGACGAGGACCAUGUCUGGUGGGUAGUUUGACUGGGGCGGUCUCCUCCUAAAGAGUAACGGAGGAGUACGAAGGUGCGCUCAGCGUGGUCGGAAAUCACGCGUAGAGUAUAAAGGCAAAAGCGCGCUUAACUGCGAGACCCACAAGUCGAGCAGGUACGAAAGUAGGUCUUAGUGAUCCGGUGGUUCUGUAUGGAAGGGCCAUCGCUCAACGGAUAAAAGGUACUCUGGGGAUAACAGGCUGAUACCGCCCAAGAGUUCAUAUCGACGGCGGUGUUUGGCACCUCGAUGUCGGCUCAUCUCAUCCUGGGGCUGAAGCAGGUCCCAAGGGUAUGGCUGUUCGCCAUUUAAAGAGGUACGCGAGCUGGGUUUAGAACGUCGUGAGACAGUUCGGUCCCUAUCUGCCGUGGGUGUAAGGAGACUUGAGAGGAUUUGUCCCUAGUACGAGAGGACCGG
rnacentral:rRNA from 1 species